UGAGGAAUAUUGGUCAAUGGGGGAAACCCUGAACCAGCGACGCCGCGUGCGGGAUGAAGGGGCUUUGCCUUGUAAACCGCUGUCGGAAGGGAAGAAAAGCCGGGUCGCCCGGCUGGGACUGUACCUUCAAAGGAAGGGUCGGCUAACUACGUGCCAGCAGCCGCGGUAAUACGUAGGACCCAAGCGUUGUCCGGAAUUACUGGGUGUAAAGGGUGCGCAGGCGGGCUUGUGCGUCAGAGGUUAAAUCUCCCGGCUCAACCGGGAACAUGCCUUUGAUACGGCAAGUCUUGAAUACGAGAGAGGAUGGUAGAAUUCCUGGUGUAGCGGUGAAAUGCGUAGAUAUCAGGAGGAAUACCAGUGGCGAAGGCGGCCAUCUGGCUCGUUAUUGACGCUCAGGCACGAAAGCGUGGGGAGCAAACA
rnacentral:rRNA from 1 species